ensembl:lncRNA
AUUUGGGAUGCAACUUACGUGGGAUCGUGGCGGUGGAGUGGGUGGCUUGUGCUGAGACCUGAGCCAAGCAGGCUAGAACACUCUGGUGUCUAUGGGCUCUGAUCAGAUCACUCUUAAAUGCUUUCAGACCAUCCUUGGCAUGUGCUUCUUUGGAUCUAGGGCAGCCUCUUAAUGUUUGACUUCGUGGUGGGAAAAAGCUUGGCUGAGGUAUGUGGCUGAUAGUUAGAUGUGAGUAAUUAGCCGUGCUAACAGGAGUUGUGUUACCUCUAGCCCAAAGCACCUCCCUUCCCAGUGAGCAGACGUGCAGUUUGGCCUUCUUUCAGACUCUGCCAUUUUUACUCUGCUCCUCUCCUAAGUUUGUUCUCCAGUUGCCAGCUUGCUGAGAUUUGUCUCCUUGGUUCUUCUCCACAGAGCCUGGGCAGGAACAAACCCACAGCCUCACUACUAACUGGACAGCAUUUGGGCAGCAGAGCCUGGCUUUAAAAGGCAAACACCAGAUAGGCACGUUGAAGUGCUUUGUUUCAACAGCUCUUUGCUCCUCUUGUGCACUGACAUUUUUCUGGCUCAAGGUGGAAAGGAGUGAAGUGUUGCCUGGAGAUACAGCAAGGUCUACAAGCCGUAGCGGGGUGGAAAAACAGAUGUGUGACAAGGCAGGACUUGGCCAAGGCAGCUGCAAGGCUUCAGGAUUUAGGCCCUUGGAAAGGACGCAGCAGUAGGGAAUGCUGGACAAAGCUGCAGAAACAUGGCUCUAGCAUUCAGCUUCAAGAUCCCUCCACUGCUCUUGAGGAGGCUCUCUGGGGAAAUGUCUGGGCUGGAGCAUGUUGGACCCACAGCACUGGCCCUGCAGCACUGGUCCUGCACUCUCUGCCGCAGGGAGUGCAGGUGCAGGCUUACAAGGCUGGCAAAGGAGAACUGGAGCCUAGCACCAGCUGGAGGAAUGGGGAACAGAGACCUCGAUCCAGCCAAAGUACCUUUCUUUUAGUUGUCAGGAAAGAGAUAUGGCGCUGAGAAUUAAUUUGCUCAAUUUGUUCAUUCCUGCCGAGAAGGAACAUGUGUCUGUGCAAAAUGAUGCUGGAAGCUUUAACACAUGCUUUCAUCCAUGUCAUGGGUAGAAGGUGAAAAGAAAAGAUUUCUUAAUGUUGCUGAUUCUCCUCUAUAAUGCCGUGACCUUAUUUCCUGUGGUCUGACCAUUGGGAAGCUGGAGGAGGAAGUAAGAGAAAAAGUGGUGCAUAAGUAACCCAAGUAACCUAUUUUAUCUCAGUCCUGAAUCAGUUCCUGUGUCAGGCAUGUCUGAGUGUCUGUGGUCCGUCCCCUUGCUGUGAGGCUGGUGGUUCUUGGGAAAGGGAACAGGACUGCAGCCACUGCCAUCAGCAGACAGUGCCUUGACUGGGAAAUGCUCAUGUGCUGCCUAGGAGGGGAAGUGCUCAAGGAAGCCCAGCGUUGGCUCUUGCACCUAAGUGCAGCGUAGGAGAACAUACCCUGGGGAACCAAGGAGCUGCAUGAGAGGAGCUGCUUCUGUCUGGGGACACAGCUCACACCAGAGGGCAGGAAGCCCCUCCAACUCUCCGUGCUACCAUGCAUUGUGCUAGGGCCCAGGCUCAUUCUGAGUGCUACUGAAGAUGCCAGAGACUUUUUCUUGAGGAGUGGGUGAUUGGAGGAGAAAUGUUCAGUAUAAGCAAGGCUACCAACACAGAACAGCAGUUGUGUUUGUGUCUGUGAGUUUGUAUGGGUACAACUUGGCAGUCAAAAAUGCCCCCUCAUGACUAGUCCAAAAGCUGAAAUUUCACCUAAGCAUGCUGAAGAUUUUCUGGAAUAUUGGCAGUGAUGCCUCUUAAAUGAUGCGUGACAAAGGGACUUGGGAGAGCACCGUGUGCUUAGAAGGUCUCAGCCUUUCUGGGAAACUCUGAGUCCUUUGGUCCAAUAGAAGAAGAAAAAUGUAAGCCUUGCCUUGGUGAGCUGUGGAUCCAAU